UGAACUUGAAUAUGAGAUCAACACAUGUAAACAGAGUUAGGUUACCUUUCUGGAACAAGCAAAGGGCGUUGUAGCAUCAGAUGAUGCAAUUGACAACAUGUGAUUAAACAAAUAAACUGAAGGACGUGUACCUGCGUGUCAUGCGAGUCAUCCCCGAAACAAAACUAUUUGACGCAGAAAAACACAGUGCAAGUCACACAAGUAAGCACGGGAUACUUCUAUGAUAGAGCUUGUUGACAUAAAACCAGAAUAAAGUCGACACUUGCUAUCGAAACCCACCCCGUCAUACGCUUUGUUCGACCUCCUCUCCCCGAUUCUCCUUCCCGAUCCAGAAGAGCCAGAGGCCGGCCUUGUUUUUGUCAACCAGCUUCUCGAAAAACAUUGCACCACAAUUAGAUUUUAACAUCGGAGCGCAGCGUUAAUACGACACUGGAAUAAUUAAUGACUGACGAAUUAUUAUUCGUAUAAAAAGACAGCUGUCAUCUAAAAACGUACUUUGUACUCGUUACUCACCGAGGAGGAGACUGCCGGACGGGCUAACGGGCUGUUGUUGUUCAGUUAGCGUAGCGGCUAACGAGGCGUUACGUUAGCUAGCUCACUCGCUGGCACUGAACUCGUUAGCUAGCGUUGAUUUGGAAAUACCUCGUUUCAAAAUCUUACACAAAUGUGU